AUUAAACCCACAACCAGCCACAACCACCUCCCCGCACCACCAGCGUCCGGCCGUCCCACUGUCCCAGACCACAUCCUUGCUGCGCCCACCUCAUCACCGCCGCGCCCAACCACAGCCCCGCCGUGCCCAAACUAUCGUCCCAAACUGGCCGUUAGCCUACCCCAUUUCGUCGCCUCUAAUUAAACCACCACAUCCAUAACGAAAUCGAUCGUGGGGAAGGGGAUAGGGCCGGAAAGGGACAUGGGAGUAGGGCCGAAAAUCGGCGGGGAAAGGGGAGGGAGGUCGGGAUCGCGAUGGGGACGAAGGGUUAUUAUGAGGCUGGUUGGUGGUUAAGGUGGAUGGGAUUGCGCGAUUCAAGGGGGAGGGGGAGGGGGUAUGUGGUCGGCGCGGCUCUCCGGUGCCAGAGUCAAGGCACGGGGUCGGACUAGUGGACGGUGGUGGUGGUGGGCGACUGGGCGGCCGUGAAGGUGGUUGGCUGGUGGGGGUGAUUAAUUAAUUAUUUAUUUUUUAAUUAAUUAAGUAUAAUGUUUUUUUAUUUUGUGUUUUACAAAAAUAAAUAUUUAUUAUUAUAUUUUAUUUUUGUUUUUUAAACUAAUCAGCUGUCGCCACAUGUCAUGUAACUUGGUAUAGCAAGUUAAAUGACCGGUAGGGACCAUUUAAAGCGGAUUAGUAUUAAAGGUCGGAUUAUUAAAAAAUAAUCGAAAGGUGAGAUUAUUUUGGACGGACGAAGCAAAGGUCGAAUUAUUCUGAGCAAUUUUUCCUAUCUAAAACCCUUUUAUUAAACAUGCCAACUUCUGCUACCGUUCCUUAUGAACAGUACCCGCUAAUGAAUAGUGUUAUGCCUUUUUAGUCCUUGCGAACGGUGUAAUUUUACAUCCACUUGCUGCUUGAGUUCUUCUACUUUUCCCCGCUUUUUCCUCCUGUCUCCACAUAUCCAAUUCUCCAUCAGUCUCUCUCUCUCUAAAAAUGCCUAAUUGUUAUCUGAGCUCUCAUUCUCUCUCCUCAAUCUCAAUUCUUCACUCUUCCACCGGUGACCCUUACCUUUCCAUUCCUUCAAUCUCGAUUCUCGACUCCUUCAGUUUUCUGUUGAAGUGGCUUCUUAGCUUUCUCUCUUCCAUUGAAGCAGUUUAUGAGAUGAAGAAAAUUUUAUUUGACUUGACCUCGAAACCCGGCUUUGAGUCCAAACUUGAAAGAUGAGCAGUCUUCUCGAUAAUCCUCUUGUGGGUACGAUCUUCUUCUUCAAUUUUUUUUUUCAAUUCUUCGAUUUUUAUUUGUACUUGCUCGUGAAAUGAUGAAAUAGGUAUUUUGUUCUGGAUUUUGGUAUGUAAUUGAGUUCGAUUUUUUAUUUUUGAUAAUUGUUUUUACGAUUAAAUUAAUAAUUGAAUGAUCAGAGAUUUACUUGAAGGCGGUGAUGAUAAAUAAUCGUUUGAUAGUAAUCAAUUUUUAGUUUGAUUUUUGAAGGCAUUCUUGCUUUGGGUAGUUUGCCAUUUGGUUUAAUUUGGCAGCAAUAUGAUGGGUGUUUUGCAUGUUGAUGGGGUUGAAAUUUUCUCUCUUCUCAAAUACGCAUCUUUUCAGGUUUAGUUGGCCAUCAUGGUUGAUUUUUUCCUUGCUUGAGUUGCCACACCAAAAUUUUUGUUUGAAGCUAUGCUGAUCUAAGCCUCCUCUGUCAAUUUAUUUAUUUAUUUAUUUUUUGUCAGAACUCAUUAUUUGUCAUGAAAAUAUGAAUUCGAUGAUUUGAAGAUGUUUUGAUGGACAAAUUUUAAGUUCAAAUUGUUUUAGAAUUACUGAAAGUCAGAUGGCAAAGGUUGAUUUUUUAUGUUUGAAUUUGAUGAACAUGACUAGAGAAGACAAUUGGUUAUGUAUGAGGGUAAAAUUUAUUUGAAAUCUAGGAUUCGAUGAGAAUUGUAUCACUUAUGCUUCUUAAAACAUAUAUUGUGAGGUUGUGUUGAUCAAAUAGCGCAGAUUAAAGCAUAUACUAUGAGGUUGUGUUGAAUUGUUGAUCAAAUAGGGGAAUGAAUAUGCUUUGUCCCCUAUCUCUCACUCUCCUCCAUUGAAGCGUACUCUGAAUUCUCUGUUGAAAUGGCUUCUGCCUUUGUAAGCUUUCUCUCCUUUAUUGAAGGAGGUUCUGAGGUAAGAUGUUUUUCUUAAUUAGUGACCAUCAGUUUAUAAUCUAGGGUUUAACGUUGAUUAAUACCAAGAAUGAGGCAGGGCGAGGUCAUGGGAGUUUCCCAAUGACCGUUUUGCCCCUCUCCUUAGACGACCAUUGUUUACGGUAGUUAGCUUUUGCAGGUGAUUUAUCCAGACACUGUUAAAACGGUCCUCAAACAAUCUAUUUAGAACCAUAGCUGCUAUAGUCUAUCUGAUCCGUGACUGUUUAACUCUGCUGAAUGCCUGACUGCAUGCUUCUUGAUCUUCUAACCACAAAAAUCACCAACCAUUAUAGGCUGUGAUGAGUGUACACCAUUCAAAGUAGUUAAAUUUAAUAUGGAGAAUUAUUUGAGGUUAUGGGUGAUUUUUUUUUUAUUUGGCUUGGCAAAAAGAUCAAUUGUUGGUUUAUUUUAUACAAUGUAUUAUUUUUAUUUUGUGGUUUGGUUUAGUUAGACUUUGGAAAUUAUUUGGCCCAAUCUUAUUGAUUGCCGCCAUGGUUGAUUUUACCAACUCGAAACCACCAGAUUAUUUGAUGAAAUGUGGAUCUGAGCCUGUUGUUAAAAAUAAAAAGUUGCAUUGUUGAAUUUUGGUAAUACUUGUACAACUUUUUACAGUCACCCCAAGCUACAAUGCUACACUUUAACAUAUGUGGAGUACAUAUGAUAUAAUAUUGUAGUUCUUUAUAGUUUGAAUAAUAGCUAUGGUUCCCUUAUUUUUGGACAUGUUAGUUUGAAAUAAUGUCUUGAUUCGAUUAUGAAUUUUAAUGCACAAAGCAUUGAAGGGUAUCAGUAUUUUCUGCAAUGUUUACAAAUAGAAGACUAAUAUGUAAUUAGAACCGGAAAUAGAAAUGGAUAAUUAACUGAAGAUACUUUAGUUUCUGAAAAAUCAUAGUGAACAUCCUUCUUGGAACUUUGGUUGCAAUAUAACAUACUAUGGAGUACAUUGGACUUGAGAACAAGGUUUGGACUUUGGACUGAAUGCAGGUGUCAAUCUUACGAUGUUCAAGUAGUAACUUUUCUUGAAGCUGAUUUCCAGCAUACAUCUCUGACCUCUCACUCUCUCCUCCAUUGUGGCGCACUCCGAGUUUCCCAUUGAAGCGUUAUCUAAGCUUCCUACAUUGAAACUUCUUGUGAUCUGAGUAGAGCAGUAGAAACUAUUAACUAAGAAUGCCGGGGAGAAGACUAUUGAGUGGUUAGACAAGUUAGGAAAUUCAAAUGGUUCUCUUCCAGCAUCCCAAAUCCGUUUGAAUAUGCUACAAGUAAAUGCAAAAUAAUGGUAUGAUUCUUCGUACGCAUAGUACAUUGGAGUAAGGUAUGCUAAUGCUUGUGAUUCUUGUAUUGGAUAUUUCUCGUUUUUAGUAAUGUUGCUCAUCCCAAUAUAAUUCGCCUUUUUGUAGCCAUUGAGGUUGAGAUUAUUAUUGUAGCCAUCCCAAUAUUAUGUCCAUGCUGAUUAAUUAUGUUUGUCAGACCCGAGAUUGAUGCUUGUUGGCAAUUGUAGGCCUUUAUUCAUAUAUCUAACUCUCUAGAAAGCUAUAAUAGUAAUUGUAAACAGCUGUGAAUAUGGUCGUGUCUUUGGGUGGGUAUCAAUAUGGAUGCUCUAAAUUUUAUUGAAAUAAAUCCGGACCUUAAUUGCUAGCCCAAGGAAAGUUAUUGCUAGCUGCUUACUGAAUGCAAUAUUUGAUAGAUUAGGUAGCUGAAGUAUAUCUCAAGGAAGAAAGUGGCUAAUAGAUGGUGGGCUGAAAAUCAACCAAUAUUAUGUUUCCCUCUUAUGCAGCUUAUUACUUCUUCGAGCACCAAUUAAUCUUUGUGAUGUUUUAAGGAUUCAUGCUCUGUCCAUGAAUAGUAUGUGGAUGAUCUGGUACAAGCUAAUUGGUGUUACUUGCAGAAGUCAAAUAAGCUAAGGGGAAGUAUAAUAACACAAAAUCUAAUCCAAUUUUAUUAGUAAAUUUGGGUUGAUAAUAUUUUGCAAUUAUAUGAAUAGUUAUAAAUUUUUUUGGGUUUCCUUUGUAAGAAUAUUUGUAUUAACCACUUAUCUAAAACCAAUUAUGUUCUUGAAAUAUUUGUAAGAUUAUUUGGCAUAUUUUUCUUUUCUUUGUGAAUACUUAUUUCCUAAACUUCUCACCUUGUCAGCAAUAGAGAAGGUUUUAUUUAUUUGAUUAUUUAUUACUCGUAGUUUAAUAACAAGUUGUCCCAAUUGACAUUUUUGUACGUACGUAGUGUCUAUGACUUUGAUUUGCGUUGCCACCAUAGCUGCAAUGAACAAGGCACCAGCGCUAACGCUUCUGUUCAAAAUAAAGACAAUGAUUCUGUUGCAGCAUCUUAGUAGAAGGGUGUUGAUUGUCCGUCACAGAGAGAGGAAGAAAUAUAAAGUGAAGCUAUUGACUUUGGUAUGCUAUUUGUUAUACUAUUAUUAUUUACUUACACACUUAUUGUACAUAAUUAAAUUCCAUACUGUAAUUUUAGGUAUACAAUUUUCUUAAUCGCGCCCAUCUUGUAAAAGAAGGAAGCAUACGAUCUAAGUAUUUUAAAAGAAGCAGUUACCAUAGGGAUUAUUAAGAACAUGUUUAAAAACAGUUCCUCCUUUAAUAGUUUGUAUCUUUAACCUUUUCUAUAAAUAUGAGCAAUUCAGUUACUGUUGCUUAGGAACAGUACUUGGGUUACUAUUGCUUAGGAACAGGGGAUUUCCCUUUGUGCCCUUAAUUGUUUUUUUGUUUUCCUGAUUUUCCUCUGAUCCUCUUAUUUUGUCGUUUGAGAACACGAGGCUGCUUUCCCCCUUUUCCUUUGAAGCAUACUCUCAGUUAGCCUCCUCCAUUGAAGCGUUCCUCUGAGUUCUCCUUUGAAGUGGUUUCCGAUAUGUCUAUCUAUUUUUUCGUCGACACCGCUACUAAGCUGAUAUUUCCGGCAGAUGCGUGUGGAAGUCUGGCGAAAGAGCAGCAAGCAACAGGAGUUGCAAUUCUGCUUCAAAUUAUGAUGCUGGUUCUUGCUUAUGUACUUGGUCAUGUUUUGCGUCGCCAUAAAUUUUAUUAUCUUCCUUAAGCUAGCGCUUCUCUUUUGAUUGGGUUUGGGAAGUGUGAGAAGCUAAUCUAUUGACUGUAUUGAGGAUCAAGAAGCUGAUUGUGUGAUAAAGAAUGGGACUUCUGAAUAGAUGGUGAAGAUAGUAGGAACACUCAAUGCAGGUAAAGGUCAUGUAAAAGGUAGGGAGUCUACUUUAUGAAGACUUGGGAGAAAGAAAUUUGAUAUAGUUCAUGAAGCAGCUCAAAUCAAAGUAAUACACAUUAUUCAAAAGAGUAUCAGAGAACUUAAACUACUUGAUUUAAUUGCAUAUAGUGCAUGUAAGAUGUAAGCAUUAAAUAUCUUGCAGGACUCUGCUAAAACUAUUGAUCAUGUAUCACAAGGUAGCUUCUUGGACAUGUUCCAAAUGAAGCAUGCUUUUGGACUUACAAUAAGUCUUGUGUUCAUGGAACGAGCAUCAUGUGGUGGAACAAAUGGUAUUUUGUUUUAUGCAGCUACAACUUUAUAAAUGUGGAAGACGAUCAAUUUUACUGUAUGCAUGAAGAAGGCUUCAACAAUAAUUUAAGAUGUUCAUGGUGAGUUUGAAGCUAUCUUAUGCGAAGUACUUCAAUAUCCAUUCACGUUAAUGGCACUGCCACUUUUAUCUUUUAUGCUUUUGCUACUUUUGUUUCUAUUGUUGAGGAAUUGUGGAUUGGGAUGGGAUGUUUUUUAUGGAUUAUACAAAUGUGAUGUCAUCUUGCUGUAGUAUUAUAGUUGAACAUGUACCAAUGCCAUACUCAAAUUUCCCUUGUUUCUUGCAAUUAUAUGACAAUGAAACUAAUGUUUUUUCAGGCUGAAUACAUGCAAUAUUAAAACUUCAAUAUGCAUUAUGAGUCUGACUAUGCAGACUUGAUCUCCAACUUUCAGCCGGUGAAUUUAGUGGCCAAUGUGUUGAUGAAGUUAUAAAGAAGAUUAUAAAUGGUAGAAAUAACAAUAAUUGUUAAAUUUUAUGUUCUUGGUGGAAUUAUAUUAUUAAUUUUUACAAAUUCUCACACUACAUAUUUGGCUUGUGCUAAAAUUAUUGUUUAGCUUAGGAUUAAUUAAUUCUAGCAUUUACUCUCUCUAGACCACUACCAUGUACUUAGGUUGUUAAAAUCAAUCUGAUCAAAUUUUAAAUGGCUAGAUAUUUGGGUGAAUGAGACUCACUAUAGAUGGACAACGUUUGAGUUUUCGCAUUUGUCAAUGAACA